UUGGUUCAUGCAAUCAGUCAUGUAGCAGUUUCCAUCCGCGUACGUCGUCGAUCUUUGAAAUCCAAUCACUUUCACUAGCUUUUCCCCUUCUACGUGAAACGUCGGUCGGUUUUAAUUGUUGAAAAUUUGGGACAUUUUAUGGAGUUUUAAUACUUUAAUGUGUGACAAGUUGUGUAAAAGUUAUUAUUAUAAAGUUGGUGACUUAAAUUUCUAAUGUUAUGGCCAAGCGAGUAAUGGACAAUUUGACAGGUCAAUGUUUUGGUAGUGUUCAGAAAAUAUAAACGUGGUUCUAUGUGUCGAUGUGCCAAGGCCUGUAAUAAUUUCCAUUUUCCAAAGAUAUUUGAAAAAAUGUGGGAUUUACAAUGCUGGAAAUGGUUAAAAUGUAAUCUUCGAGUCGCAUAACGUAAGGUCUACAUCGCCACCAACAGACGGUAGCCAUGAAACUAACGAAACCACAAUCGUCACAUUUGGUAACCCACGAAACGAUUAUAACGCCUGCCCUCGUCACGCGGCAGGCGUUACCGCUCAGCGCCGCUUCCGUUUUUGGGCCGCUUCGCUCCUGUCACACACGUCACCUGGUGAAGCG